rnacentral:rRNA from 1 species
UGGGUGAAAGCCUGAUCCAGCAAUGCCGCGUGAGUGAUGAAGGCCUUAGGGUUGUAAAGCUCUUUUACCCGGGAUGAUAAUGACAGUACCGGGAGAAUAAGCUCCGGCUAACUCCGUGCCAGCAGCCGCGAUAAU